rnacentral:rRNA from 1 species
UCGAACGCGAAAGUCCCGCAAGGGAUGAGUAGAGUGGCAAACGGGUGAGUAACACGUGGGUGACCUGCCUUCGAGCGGGGGAUAACGUCCCGAAAGGGACGCUAAUACCGCAUGACAUCCCGCCUUUGAAGAGGUGGAGAUCAAAGCUGGGGAUCGCAAGACCUAGCACUUGAAGAGGGGCCCGCGCCUGAUUAGCUAGUUGGUGGGGUAACGGCUCACCAAGGCAACGAUCAGUAUCCGGCCUGAGAGGGCGGACGGACACACUGGGACUGAGACACGGCCCAGACUCCUACGGGAGGCAGCAGUGGGGAAUUGUUCGCAAUGGGCGCAAGCCUGACGACGCAACGCCGCGUGGAGGAUGAAGACCUUCGGGUCGUAAACUCCUUUCGAUCGAGACGAAUGGCUUCCGGGUGAACAAUCCGGGAGAAUGACGGUACCGAGAGAAGAAGCCCCGGCUAACUCCGUGCCAGCAGCCGCGGUAAUACGGGGGGGGCAAGCGUUGUUCGGAAUUACUGGGCGUAAAGGGCUCGUAGGCGGCCAACUAAGUCAGACGUGAAAUCCCUCGGCUUAACCGGGGAACUGCAUCUGAUACUGGAUGGCUUGAGAUUGGGAGAGGGAUGCGGAAUUCCAGGUGUAGCGGUUGAAAUGCGUAAAUUUCUGGAGGAACACCGGUGGCGAAGGCGGCAUCCUGGACCAACACUGACGCUUAAGGAGCGAAAGCCAGGGAGCAAACGGGAUAAAUACCCGGUAGUCCUGGCCCUAAACAAUAAAGCUUGGUGUGG